rnacentral:rRNA from 1 species
AUUGAACGCUGGCGGCAGGCCUAACACAUGCAAGUCGAACGGUAACAGGAAACAGCUUGCUGUUUCGCUGACGAGUGGCGGACGGGUGAGUAAUGUCUGGGAAACUGCCUGAUGGAGGGGGAUAACUACUGGAAACGGUAGCUAAUACCGCAUAACGUCGCAAGACCAAAGAGGGGGACCUUCGGGCCUCUUGCCAUCGGAUGUGCCCAGAUGGGAUUAGCUAGUAGGUGGGGUAACGGCUCACCUAGGCGACGAUCCCUAGCUGGUCUGAGAGGAUGACCAGCCACACUGGAACUGAGACACGGUCCAGACUCCUACGGGAGGCAGCAGUGGGGAAUAUUGCACAAUGGGCGCAAGCCUGAUGCAGCCAUGCCGCGUGUAUGAAGAAGGCCUUCGGGUUGUAAAGUACUUUCAGCGGGGAGGAAGGGAGUAAAGUUAAUACCUUUGCUCAUUGACGUA